AUCUUCUGCUCUUCAGAUUAGCUCAGGGGAGGCUGUUGCUUGGAUAGUAAAUCUUCUGCUCUUCAGAUUAGCUGAGGGGGAGGCUCUGCUUCCCUCCUUGAAGCUUAUCUAGUAGUCUUAAGAACAUA
rnacentral:snoRNA from 16 species